UCGGAUUGUAGUCUGCAACCCGACUACAUGAAGCUGGAAUCGCUAGUAAUCGCGGAUCAGAAUGCCGCGGUGAAUACGUUCCCGGGUCUUGUACACACCGCCCGUCACACCAUGGGAGUCGGAAAUGCCCGAAGCCGGUGACUCAACCUUUAAGGAGAGAGCCGUCGAAGGCAGGUCUGAUAACUGGGGUNAAGUCGUAACAAGGUACC
rnacentral:rRNA from 1 species